GUACCGUGAGGGAAAGAUGAAAAGAACUUUGAAAAGAGAGUUAAACAGUACGUGAAAUUGUUGAAAGGGAAACGAUUGAAGUCAGUCAUACCAACGGGAAAUCAACCUUUUGAGCUUGGUCUCGUGGGUUUUGAAGAGUUUCAAAGCCUUCGGAUUCGCGGGAUUGGGAUCUCUUGGUGUACUUUUUCGUACGGUUAGUCAACAUCGGUUUUGAAUGUCAUAAAAUGACUGGAGGAAUGUAGCUUCGAUCUCGUAUUGAAGUGUUAUAGCCUUUGGUAGAUGUGAUGUUUGAGACCGAGGAUUGCAACGGAUACCCUUCAGGGCUAUUCGUCUGAUCUCUGAUACGUUGCCUUGAUGUUGAAAGCUUGCUUAUGAUGUUAGGGUAUUACGGUCAAAAGGUUAGAACGAAUUACAUUCGUUAAGG
rnacentral:rRNA from 1 species